rnacentral:tRNA from 1 species
GGGGCUGUAACUCAGUGGUAGAGUGUUCGCUUUGCAUGCGAAAAGCCCAGGGUUCGAUCCCCUGCCGCUCCA